UACGUAGGGUGCGAGCGUUGUCCGGAAUUAUUGGGCGUAAAGAGCUUGUAGGCGGUUUGUCGCGUCUGCCGUGAAAAUCCGGGGCUCAACCCCGGGCUUGCGGUGGGUACGGGCAGACUAGAGUGUGGUAGGGGAGACUGGAAUUCCUGGUGUAGCGGUGAAAUGCGCAGAUAUCAGGAGGAACACCAAUGGCGAAGGCAGCACUCUGGGACGUGACUGACGCUGAGACGCGAAAGCGUGGGGAGCAAACAGG
rnacentral:rRNA from 1 species